rnacentral:rRNA from 1 species
GACGAACGCUGGCGGCGUGCUUAACACAUGCAAGUCGAGCGGUAAGGCCCUUUCGGGGGUACACGAGCGGCGAACGGGUGAAUAACACGUGGGUGACCUGCCCUCAGCUCUGGGAUAAGCCUGGGAAACUGGGUCUAAUACUGGAUAUGACUCCACGGUGCAUGUCGUGGGGUGGAAAGCCUUGUGCGGCUGAGGAUGGGCCCGCGGCCUAUCAGCUUGUUGGUGGGGUGAUGGCCUACCAAGGCGACGACGGGUAGCCGGCCUGAGAGGGCGACCGGCCACACUGGGACUGAGACACGGCCCAGACUCCUACGGGAGGCAGCAGUGGGGAAUCUUGCGCAAUGGGCGAAAGCCUGACGCAGCGACGCCGCGUGAGGGAUGACGGCCU